AGAUGCAUGAGGAACUGAGGACAGUCGUCGGUGGACAACUGGUCUAGGAGGUGGGGUGAGAUGUAGAUUUAUUUUUUACUGUAGAUUCUUUUUGAAUUUUUUUAUGCCUGUGUAACCCUUAAAAACCCAAUUUAUUACUGUUUGUAGGCGGGCUGUUAAAUCACUCUUUCCUGCGUCUCCUUUCGCCCUGGAGAGUCUGGGCACUGCCGGUAGAGUGCUCCGGCAUAGCCCCACCCCUGGCUGGGUCCAGGAGGGCACGCCUCCUGAAGUUCAAGCGCAUCGGGGCGAGGAGCCCUGGAGGCUGCAUGACAGCCCUGUGAAUCAGCACUCUUCCCAGAUGAAAACCCUGGCUGGAAAGCAACCUCAAGGCCUCUGGCCCUACUGCAUUGCCCUGACUUCUCUUCUCUGUUUGUUCAUCUUUCCUGGAAAAAAUAAGUAAGCUUUUCCCCUUCACCAAUUUCCCUGGCACUCUGCAGGGCAGGCCACAGAGCCCUGCCUGCCAGCUGCUUCCCGUGCGCCAAGUCUUCCUGACUCUAUUUACCUCGGUGCUCCAGUGCCCCGGGCCGCGUCUGUGCUCACAGAUCAGCUAGUGGGGCGGCUGCCAGCCCAAGUCCACACUCCCUGCUGGUGACCCCCAGCAUGUGUGCCAUGAAGACCAGCCUGGCUAUGACAGGAGUCGCUUCCACAGGAACCAUCGAGAAGACUUUAGCCAGGAGAAAAUGCUACCUCAUCCAACAAGGCAUCUGAGGGGCAUGGGGGCCCCCGUGUCUAUGUCAUGUUUUAUCCGCUCCAACUGGCUUUGUCAGAUUUCUGACCAUCUACCUUGGGCUGUGUCCCCUGGUGCUUGUCCCUGGUUCUUUUUUGUUCUCCAGGUUUAUGAACCUCUUUCUGCCUCACCUGGUCUCACCUGGACACCGGCCUCGUGGUGGAACCCUUCCCACACGUCCUGUCUGGACCGACCACUUCCGUCCAGAUGCCCAGCUCGGCUCUUAUCAGCCCCCUGCCCUGUCCUCCACCUUCUCAGUCCUGGCUCCUCUCUCUGUCCCUUGAAUCCAUAACCAGAUAUGCUCACACUCUCACCGGAGACUCCAACCUACUGACUCAGGGCCAAGGACGCACCCAAGUGUUUGUUUUCUAGGGUGGUGGUAAAGAUAAAAUGAAGUUAUGCAUGAGAACCAUUAACACGGUGCUUCUGGCACAUGGUUUCGUGGUCACAAAUUUGGGAGCAGCUUCGUCGGGUGGUUGUGGAUCCAGAUCUCUCAUGAGGUUGCCGCCAAGACUUCAGCCCGGGCCACAGUCAUCUGAAGGCCUCACUGGGGCUGGGGAUA